UACGUAGGGGGCAAGCGUUGUCCGGAUUCAUUGGGCGUAAAGAGCUCGUAGGCGGUUCGGCAAGUCGGGUGUGAAAACUCCAGGCUCAACCUGGAGACGCCACCCGAUACUGCUGUGACUUGAGUCCGGUAGGGGACCACGGAAUUCCUGGUGUAGCAGUGAAAUGCGUAGAGAUGUGGAGGAACACCGAUGGCGAAGGCGGCCCACUGGUCCGGUACUGACGCUGAGGUGCGAAAGCGUGGGGAGCAAACAGG
rnacentral:rRNA from 1 species